rnacentral:rRNA from 1 species
GACGAACGCUGGCGGCGUGCCUAAUACAUGCAAGUAGAACGCACAGUUUAUACCGUAGCUUGCUACACCAUACACUGUGAGUUGCGAACGGGUGAGUAACGCGUAGGUAACCUGCCUGGUAGCGGGGGAUAACUAUUGGAAACGAUAGCUAAUACCGCAUAAUAUUAAUUAUUGCAUGAUAAUUGAUUGAAAGAUGCAAUUGCAUCACUACCAGAUGGACCUGCGUUGUAUUAGCUAGUAGGUGAGGUAACGGGUCACCUAGGCGACGAUACAUAGCCGACCGGGGAGGGGGAUCGGCCACACUGGGACUGGGACACGGCCCAGACUCCUGCGGGAGGCAGCAGUAGGGAAUCUUCGGCAAUGGACGAAAGUCUGACCGAGCAACGCCGCGUGAGUGAAGAAGGUUUUCGGGUCGUGAAGCUCUGUUGUGAGAGAAGAACGGGUGUGAGAGUGGAAAGUUCACACUGUGACGGUAUCUUACCAGAAAGGGACGGCUAACUACGUG